rnacentral:rRNA from 1 species
AUUGAACGCUGGCGGCAGGCUUAACACAUGCAAGUCGAACGAUGAUUAUCUAGCUUGCUAGAUAUGAUUAGUGGCGGACGGGUGAGUAACAUUUAGGAAUCUGCCUAGUAGUGGGGGAUAGCUCGGGGAAACUCGAAUUAAUACCGCAUACGACCUACGGGUGAAAGGGGGCGCAAGCUCUUGCUAUUAGAUGAGCCUAAAUCAGAUUAGCUAGUUGGUGGGGUAAAGGCCCACCAAGGCGACGAUCUGUAACUGGUCUGAGAGGAUGAUCAGUCACACCGGAACUGAGACACGGUCCGGACUCCUACGGGAGGCAGCAGUGGGGAAUAUUGGACAAUGGGGGCAACCCUGAUCCAGCCAUGCCGCGUGUGUGAAGAAGGCCUUUUGGUUGUAAAGCACUUUAAGCAGGGAGGAGAGGCUAAUGGUUAAUACCCAUUAGAUUAGACGUUACCUGCAGAAUAAGCACCGGCUAACUCUGUGCCAGCAGCCGCGGUAAUACAGAGGGUGCGAGCGUUAAUCGGAAUUACUGGGCGUAAAGCGAGUGUAGGUGGCUCAUUAAGUCACAUGUGAAAUCCCCGGGCUUAACCUGGGAACUGCAUGUGAUACUGGUGGUGCUAGAAUAUGUGAGAGGGAAGUAGAAUUCCAGGUGUAGCGGUGAAAUGCGUAGAGAUCUGGAGGAAUACCGAUGGCGAAGGCAGCUUCCUGGCAUAAUAUUGACACUGAGAUUCGAAAGCGUGGGUAGCAAACAGGAUUAGAUACCCUGGUAGUCCACGCCGUAAACGAUGUCUACUAGCCGUUGGGGUCCUUGAGACUUUAGUGGCGCAGUUAACGCGAUAAGUAGACCGCCUGGGGAGUACGGCCGCAAGGUUAAAACUCAAAUGAAUUGACGGGGGCCCGCACAAGCGGUGGAGCAUGUGGUUUAAUUCGAUGCAACGCGAAGAACCUUACCUGGUCUUGACAUAGUGAGAAUCCUGCAGAGAUGCGGGAGUGCCUUCGGGAAUUCACAUACAGGUGCUGCAUGGCUGUCGUCAGCUCGUGCCGUGAGAUGUUGGGUUAAGUCCCGCAACGAGCGCAACCCUUUUCCUUAUUUGCCAGCGGGUUAAGCCGGGAACUUUAAGGAUACUGCCAGUGACAAACUGGAGGAAGGCGGGGACGACGUCAAGUCAUCAUGGCCCUUACGACCAGGGCUACACACGUGCUACAAUGGUAGGUACAGAGGGUUGCUACACAGCGAUGUGAUGCUAAUCUCAAAAAGCCUAUCGUAGUCCGGAUUGGAGUCUGCAACUCGACUCCAUGAAGUCGGAAUCGCUAGUAAUAGCAGAUCAGAAUGCUGCGGUGAAUAAGUUCCCGGGC